AGGAAAGAAGAAGAGAAAACAGAGAAUGAAGGAAUAUGGAUUAUCUGGUUUUGGAUGAACUUGAAGAGGAGAAAAGGAAGAAAGUGUCAAAGACCCAUUUGAAAAUAGCAAAGGAUAGUUGGUAGAGCUUAAGAGUGGAAAUAACUAGAUAUUGGGGGUUAGAGAAGGAUCCAAAUCAAGUAACUAAAGCUACUGGACAGUGAAGACUUGGAUAUCGAUAUACUUUUGGUAAGAAAAGUUAGUCCUCUCCUUAGCAUAGUGUAUUAAGGGAGAGUUAGAACGAUGUAUUUUGUAAUACUUAAGAUAGUAGCAAUGUCACCUUGUAUUUUUGGACUUUUGAUGAGGUGGCAAGAACAUAUUGUAGCUGAAAGGAUUUUUGAUUAAUGAAAGAAGGGAGAGAUUUUGGAUUAAGAAGUUAGUAAAGAAUUAUGUUAGCCUUGCAUGUUAUUU